rnacentral:rRNA from 1 species
GACAGAGGAUGCAAGCGUUAAUCGGAAUUACUGGGCGUAAAGGGUGCGUAGGUGGUUAGGUAAGUUAAGUGUGAAAGCCCCGGGCUCAACCUGGGAAUGCCGCUUAAUACUGCCUAACUAGAGUAUAGUAGGGGUAAAGGGAAUUUCCAGUGGAGCGGUGAAAUGCGUAGAGAUUGGAAAGAACACCAAUGGCGAAAGCACUUUACUGGGCUAUUACUGACACUGAGAGACGAAAGCUAGGGUAGCAAAUGGG